rnacentral:rRNA from 1 species
GCUGGCGGCAGGCUUACACAUGCAAGUCGAGCGGGCGUAGCAAUACGUCAGCGGCAGACGGGUGAGUAACGCGUGGGAACAUACCUUUUGGUUCGGAACAACACAGGGAAACUUGUGCUAAUACCGUAUAAUGACUUCGGUCCAAAGAUUUAUCGCCUAAGGAUGAGCCCGCGUAGGAUUAGCUUGUUGGUGAGGUAAAAGCUCACCAAGGCGACGAUCCUUAGCUGGUCUGAGAGGAUGAUCAGCCACACUGGGACUGAGACACGGCCAGACUCCUACGGGAGGCAGCAGUGGGGAAUAUUGGACAAUGGGCGAAAGCCUGAUCCAGCAAUGCCGCGUGAGUGAUGAAGGCCUUAGGGUUGUAAAGCUCUUUUACCCGGGAUGAUAAUGACAGUACCGGGAGAAUAAGCUCCGGCUAACUCCGUGCCAGCAGCCGCGGUAAUACGGAGGGAGCUAGCGUUGUUCGGAAUUACUGGGCGUAAAGCGCGCGUAGGCGGCUUUGUAAGUUAGAGGUGAAAGCCCGGAGCUCAACUCCGGAACUGCCUUUAAAACUGAUCGUUGAAUCCAGGAGAGGUGAUUGGAAUUCCGGAUUGUAGAGGUGGAAAUUCGUAGAUAUCGGGGAGGGAACACCAGUGGGCGAAGGCGGGAUCUGGGUGGAUAACUGACGGCUGGAGGGUGCGAAAAGGCGUGGGGGAGCAAACCGGGAU